GUAGCUGGUACUACAAGCCUACGCCACCAUGCUCAGGUAAAGAACCAAAUGAGAUAAGAUUCCAGAUGUAGGAAGAGCCAGACACCCCCAGGCUGAACACACUCAGGAGCUGGGUGCUUUUGGCAACAUCACAUUUCUCUGAUCCUAUUUUCUCAUUUGGAGAAGGGAGGCGAUAAGACCUUCCACACAAGGCUAUUGUGAAGAGGAAAUGCAGCAACAUAUGUGAGUUACGGAGCGCAGUGCUUCACACACAAUACGUGGUCGGUCAGCGGAAACUUUCAUCACGGCGGCUUUGCUGCAAAGCACCGUAUGUAAAUCUAAGGUACUCUUGCUAUUAAAGCCUUGUUUUCUGUUUUGUUCUGUUUUUCUUUUUUUUGUUU